UGGGGAAUAUUGGACAAUGGGCGAAAGCCUGAUCCAGCCAUGCCGCGUGUAUGAAGAAGGCCUUCGGGUUGUAAAGUACUUUCAGCGGGGAGGAAGGUGUUGUGGUUAAUAACCACAGCAAUUGACGUUACCCGCAGAAGAAGCACCGGCUAACUCCGUGCCAGCAGCCGCGGUAAUACGGAGGGUGCAAGCGUUAAUCGGAAUUACUGGGCGUAAAGCGCACGCAGGCGGUCUGUCAAGUCGGAUGUGAAAUCCCCGGGCUCAACCUGGGAACUGCAUCCGAAACUGGCAGGCUUGAGUCUUGUAGAGGGGGGUAGAAUUCCAGGUGUAGCGGUGAAAUGCGUAGAGAUCUGGAGGAAUACCGGUGGCGAAGGCGGCCCCCUGGACAAAGACUGACGCUCAGGUGCGAAAGCGUGGGGAGCAAACA
rnacentral:rRNA from 1 species